rnacentral:rRNA from 1 species
UACGUAGGGGGCAAGCGUUGUCCGGAAUCAUUGGGCGUAAAGCGCGUGUAGGCGGUUCGGUAAGUCUGCUGUGAAAGUCCAGGGCUCAACCCUGGGAUGCCGGUGGAUACUGUCGGACUAGAGUACGGAAGAGGCGAGUGGAAUUCCCGGUGUAGCGGUGAAAUGCGCAGAUAUCGGGAGGAACACCAAUUGCGAAGGCAGCUCGCUGGGACGUCACUGACGCUGAGACGCGAAAGCGUGGGUAGCAAACGGG